GGUGAGGAAUGAUGCUCCCUACUUUACUGUGCGUGAUUGCUAAAGAGAUGGACCAAUUCUGGGCUAAGGAGGGGCCAUGGGUAUUGUCCCUCCCCGACGACAGGAUUGAUCGAAUUCCGGACCAAUCCCAAGCCAGGACUCAAAAGCUGUUCAACAAAUAACCAGAUAACCAAAGACAAUGAAUCAUAUGGGAUUUUACAAGUCUGGGCUAUGAUUUUCAUCACGGUCAAAGUGCAAGCAAUUCUGCUUCCAGCAAAAAAAAAAAAAAAACGAUACUGUAUCUACAUUAACAGACCACCAUUGGCAAAUACAGAUUCUACUGUUUCCUGAUUUGAUGCAGUGGAUGUAUUCACAGCAUCGGCAAUAAGGUGUGUCAACAUGGAAUCUAGAAAUCCCAAACUUGUGGCCUAGUGGGAUCUGGUGAAGCCCAGAUUUACGGAGGAGCUUGUAGGUUGAAGACCCCAAAGUUUGUACUUCUUCCCUGUUCCCAUGGGAAUCCUCCCUGAGGGAAUCCGAGGUGAGCAGUUUCAGACUGACGAGGGACCCUCGGGAGAAUGACAAUCGUAGUUAGAUAGUCUCCCCAAUUUUAUCAAGAGACCCUUUCCCAAGAAGAUCCACACCUGGCGAGGACUAUUCUUCAGUAUCCACUAUAAGCACCCCACUCUCUUAGACCCUAGCCUUUUGCUAGCAUUCCUUUCUUAUGCUUGAUUGUAUUCGGUCAGGGAAUUCCUUUUAGCUAUAGCAAUGUCACUCAUCUUUGCAUGCUCCUAGAUUUCCCCCAUGUGGUAGAGAGGAUCCCCAAAUACUUUUCCUCCUUGUAAAGGAGAUCUGAGUUGGAAAUUGCCCAAGCCUUGAGAUAUUCAGUCAAGGGAAAUGCUAAGCCACAGACAGAUAAAUCUUUGGGACCUGUCCAAGGUCCCAACUACUAACAGAUAAACUUCAGGACGAAGGUCCCAGGUGCAAAAAAACUCGGAAACUUUCCAACAAGAGCAUGCAACAGAUAAUGGCCUGGAAUGAGGAAGGGAGGGGGGUUAUUCAUGCUGAAAAGUAUUUAAGACUGAAUCUUCAGGAGGGAACUCAGAACUCUUUUGGCUGAGUUCCCAGUAGUGCGCAUUAGUUCAAUAAACGGCCCUUUCUUUGCCUGAUUGCGUUGUCC
rnacentral:lncRNA from 1 species